CGAACGGAGAACAUUGAGCUCGCUUAAUGUUCUUAGUGGCGGACGGGUGAGUAACACGUGAGUAACCUGCCUCUGAGAGUGGGAUAGCUUCUGGAAACGGAUGGUAAUACCGCAUAACAUCAUGGAUUCGCAUGCUUCUGUGAUCAAAGAUUUAUCGCUUAGAGAUGGACUCGCGUCUGAUUAGCUAGUUGGUAAGGUAACGGCUUACCAAGGCGACGAUCAGUAGCCGGACUGAGAGGUUGAUCGGCCACAUUGGGACUGAGACACGGCCCAGACUCCUACGGGAGGCAGCAGUGGGGAAUAUUGCACAAUGGGGGAAACCCUGAUGCAGCGAUGCCGCGUGGAGGAAGAAGGUUUUCGGAUUGUAAACUCCUGUUGAAGAGGACGAUAAUGACGGUACUCUUUUAGAAAGCUCCGGCUAACUACGUGCCAGCAGCCGCGGUAAUACGUAGGGAGCGAGCGUUGUCCGGAAUUACUGGGUGUAAAGGGAGCGUAGGCGGGAUGGCAAGUCAGAUGUGAAAACUAUGGGCUCAACCCAUAGACUGCAUUUGAAACUGUUGUUCUUGAGUGAGGUAGAGGUAAGCGGAAUUCCUGGUGUAGCGGUGAAAUGCGUAGAGAUCAGGAGGAACAUCGGUGGCGAAGGCGGCUUACUGGGCCUUUACUGACGCUGAGGCUCGAAAG
rnacentral:rRNA from 1 species